rnacentral:rRNA from 1 species
GACGUAGGGGGCAAGCGUUGUCCGGAAUUAUUGGGCGUAAAGAGCUCGUAGGUGGUUUGUCGCGUCUGCUGUGAAAACGCGAGGCUCAACCUCGCGCCUGCAGUGGGUACGGGCAGACUGGAGUGCGGUAGGGGAGAUUGGAAUUCCUGGUGUAGCGGUGGAAUGCGCAGAUAUCAGGAGGAACACCGAUGGCGAAGGCAGAUCUCUGGGCCGUAACUGACGCUGAGGAGCGAAAGCGUGGGGAGCGAACAGG